GCUUACGGCCAUACCACCCUGAGCACGCCCGAUCUCGUCUGAUCUCGGAAGCUAAGCAGGGUCGGGCCUGGUUAGUACUUGGAUGGGAGACCGCCUGGGAAUACCAGGUGCUGUAAACA
rnacentral:rRNA from 1 species